rfam:Selenomonas ruminantium subsp. lactilytica TAM6421 DNA, complete genome.
GGGCCUAUAGCUCAGCUGGUUAGAGCGCACGCCUGAUAAGCGUGAGGUCAAUAGUUCAAGUCUAUUUAGGCCCA